rnacentral:rRNA from 1 species
UACGUAGGGACCGAGCGUUGUCCGGAAUCAUUGGGCGUAAAGAGCGUGUAGGCGGCUCGCUAAGUCUUGCGUGAAAUCUCGGGGCUCAACCCCGAGCGGUCGUGAGAAACUGGCGGGCUAGAGUGCGGGAGAGGAGAGUGGAAUUCCUGGUGUAGUGGUGGAAUGCGUAGAUAUCGGGAGGAACACCAGUGGCGAAGGCGGUUACCUGGAGCUUUGCUGACGCUGAUGCGCGAAAGCGUGGGGAGCGAUCCGG